rnacentral:rRNA from 1 species
UAGGCGGCGUUGUCCUCUUGAGAACGGCAUCGGGGUUCAAUUACCUUUACCAUGUGACUAAGGGGGGGGUUACAAUGCCCCGGUACAAUUCACCGGAACAUCAUCACCUGGGCUUCCUAAUAUUUCUUUUUAGCAAUGCCAACUCCAUUGAAUCCUGAUACUGAUUCUGUUCUGAAUUGUUCUCCAA